rnacentral:rRNA from 1 species
AUACGGAGGGUGCAAGCGUUGUUCGGAAUUAUUGGGCGUAAAGAGCAUGUAGGCGGUUCGUUAAGUCUGAUGUGAAAGCCCGGGGCUCAACCCCGGAAGUGCAUUGGAUACUGGCGAACUUGAGUACGGGAGAGGAACGUGGAAUUUCGAGUGUAGGGGUGAAAUCCGUAGAUAUUCGAAGGAACACCAGUGGCGAAGGCGGCUUUCUGGACCGAUCCUGACGCUGAGAUGCGAAAGCGUGGGGAGCAAACAGGAUUAGAAACCCGAGUAGUCC